GUACCGAUGAGCCAAGCUUGCUUGGAACAUUGGGAGAGUGGCAAACGGGUGAGUAACACGUAAGUAACCUACCCCUAAGUAGGGGAUAACUCUGAGAAAUUGGAGCUAAUACCGUAUGUGGUGGUGGAGGUAAGGCUUCAUCACUAAAGCCUUAGGGCGCUUGGGGAGGGGCUUGUGUCCGAUUAGCUAGUUGGUAGGGUAAUGGUUUACCAAGGCGAUGAUCGGUAGCUGGUCUGAGAGGACGAUCAGCCACACUGGGACUGAGACACGGCCCAGACUCCUAUGGGAGGCAGCAGCAAGGAAUUUUGUGCAAUGGGCGAAAGCCUGACACAGCGACGCCGCGUGAGGGAAGAAGGCCUUCGGGUUGUAAACCUCUUUUCUCAGGGAAGAAUAAUGACGGUACCUGGGGAAUAAGUCACGGCUAACUACGUGCCAGCAGCCGCGGUAAUACGUAGGUGGCAAGCGUUAUCCGGAUUUACUGGGUGUAAAGAGGGCGCGGGCGGCUUUUCAAGUCGAAUAUAAAAUCUCCCGGCUUAACUGGGAGGGAUUAUUCGAUACUGUUGGGCUAGAGAGCAGCAGAGGGAGGUGGAAUUCCCGGUGGAGUGGUGAAAUGCGUAGAUAUCGGGAGGAACACCAGUGGCGAAGGCGGCCUCCUGGGCUGUUUCUGACGUUGAGGCCCGAAAGCGUGGGGAGCGAACAGGAUUAGAUACCCUGGUAGUCCACGCUGUUAACGAUGGAUACUAGGUAUAGGGAG
rnacentral:rRNA from 1 species